rnacentral:lncRNA from 1 species
AGAACAGGAUUUCUGAGCAUGCAGUCAUAACUCUAGGUCAUUCAUUAAUUUCAGGCCCUGCUAGCAGAUACCAAGGAUGACAGUGAAAACAGUCACACGGAAGAAGGAGGGAGGGAGGACCGUGCACUACAAAGAACUCUUUUACACCGAGUUGAGAAAUCAUCGGGUUGUUAGAAUUGGACAGAACAUUUAACUCCCAUUCCUUUAUCAUCUAAAAUCUGAUAUCAUGUCAUUUGGUUCACUUCCUACAAAUAAUUACCUUUUGGCUACAUCAAGGUUAUAAUGAUAAGUUAUCAUUUCGGAGCCCAGACUACAGCCCUCGAACCAAGCUAAGUGACUUAAGUGUGCCAUCUCAUUUAACCCCCACAAAGAUUAUACUUGGCCAGGCUGAUAUCACUUAUUUCAUUUCACAGAUGAGGAUAUUGAUCUCAUGGUCACAAAGCUAGUAAACGGCCGAGAAUCACGCCUCGGUCUGUCCAGCUUCAAAACCUGGAUCCAUCACCAUGACACGCUGCUGAAUGAGGCCCGGGUUCGAGAGUAUCACACUUUAAAAAUAUCAUGAUGCAGAUGAGGAUGUGGUACAGUGAUGACUACCAUGUACACAGUACAUUCUAGACACACACUGUCCCCAAGUGCUUCUCUGCAUCUUCACUUAGUCCCCACUGCAACCCCAUGAGGCCAGCACUGUGACUGGAGGAUGCUGAGAGCAGUGAGGUGAAAUAAGCUGCCCGGCGUCACACAGCUGGGAACUGGCAGAAUUGGGAUUCCAGCUCAGGGAAGCGCCCAUGCUCUUAACUCUUAGGCUACACUGCCUGGCUCUUGGGUGGGGGAUCACUGCAGACAGAGUUAAGCUUUGGUGUGUGGGGGGCGGGGGAGGCAGGGGGAGGGGCAGGUGCUUCAAAGAUGGAAGGGAACACAGAGAAGGGACUUUGCCAACUAAUAUUAGCACAAGUCACAUACUGAGACGAAGGUUUUAAAGAGGAUUUUUUUCCCCCGCUAUUUGAGUUCAUGAGAAGAGUUUGUUACCUAUUGAACAAAUAGUCUUCACUAAUAAAGAACAAUGUGACAAGAAGUCAGCACUGUUCUUAGAUAACUGGGGACACAGGGAGGGCACUCCAGUGUUCCCAUGGAAGGAAUGAAUUCGGGCACAGUCCGUCCCGUGCAACUCCCCUAGGGAGAGAAGGGGCAACUGGAUUCCUCUCGACAAACUAGAAACUUUGUGACAAUGACAAGCUGUUCCCACCCCGGCCCUCCCCUAGGAUGCUGGAGAGCCCAGAGAGGGAAGAGAAGAAACCCAGCGUUGGUGCGGUGCCCACCGCGGACUCGACUUCAUUCCACCUUCACGCUGAGAGGCCAAGAUACCUAGAGAGAGUUCGCGGGGCCGGAGGCUCCCUGCUGUCUCCUGCAAGUGCGUGGGGGUGGGGUCUGAUUUCCACCCGUGUUGGACGUCAGCGGCCUCCGACGCUUUUUGGAAGCAGACUUUUCAGGAACACCUGCUGUGUGGCCGGCACUGUAGUAGGUGCCAGGGAUACAAAGAAGAAACUUUCAGGGCUCUUAGGAAGACAGGAAAACAAGUCAAUCAGCAAUGGUCCUAGCGUGCAGACUUUUCAGGAACACCUGCUGUAAGCCUGGCACUGUGGUAGGUGCCAGGGAUAUAAAGAAGAAAAUUUCAGGGGUUUUAGGAAGACAGCCAAACAAGUCAAUCAGCCAUGACCCUAUCAUGAUGAGGAAACUGAGGUUCUGAAUGAUUAGAUGACUCACCCGAUAUCACACAGCUGGUAAGCACGUGAACCAGGAUGAGAAACCCAGGCUAUCUAUGCCAGUGCCCAGUUAACCAGUUCACCAGAACACCAGAAGCCGCCCCCAGGGCUGCAAGCUGACCAUGCCUGGGACACAGGAGGUUGCAGUGGUGAAGAUCAACAGGCGGGGCGAGGAGCAUCUCCGUCUCCCUCUGAAGACCAUUUGGAAGAGGGUGUGAGAGCUGCCGCCAGGCUUUCCCAGAGAACAGCUGGGCCUGGAAGGGGCGGUCCAGGUCCCAUAAUAACUGCUACCUGCUGCUGCAGCAAUUUUCCCUGCUGGGUGUUUCCAAGUCCGAGUCUCCUGGGGGAGGAGGCUGGGAGGAGGAGGAGGAGGAGGGCUGAUUCUCUAAACUCCCCCUGCUUCUCACCAAAGGUCUGUCCUUGGCCCAGCUUCCCUUCCGAAGGUUGAGUAAUCUCAAAAAAUUGCAGCCUGGCAUGAAAGAGCAGGCCUGCAGGCCAAGCCAGAUCACGUCCGCACGCGGGAUGCUUGGCCCACAUGCUCCUGUACACUUGUAACUGUUAAACCAGAGGACAAGAAGCAACAGAUGUCCUCAGAUCACCAAACCAGCAAAUGCGCAGAGCCAUGGUGGGCGUCUGGCCCCAGUGCUUGGGUGGCCCCUAACAUCAGAUUAAGGAAAAAAGACCUCUCCUCAGCUGGAACGUCCCACUUCCUCCUCCCUCCUCCUCACCAGUAUUUUUCUCUCUGCUUUGCCUGGAUUGGAGUCCUGACCUGGCUACUCCCAGCUGUGUGAACUGGGCCAGCAACUUAGCUCCGUUGUGCCUCAGUUUCUCCAUCUCUAAAUGAAGCGCUUAUUCCUCUCUCAUGGAGCCGUCGUGAGAAUUACGUGAAUGAAUACAGGCUGACUACUUUGAACAGUGCCUGGUACGUAAAGCCCUGUACACUGUAGCUUUUGCUGAUGGUGGUAGACACUCUGCUAUUUAGAGAGGUGUUCUUUCUCUCGAGGCUUUGAUUCCUGCUAAAACAGAAAUCAUUUGGAAAUGGACACUUUUUCUGCCAUUUAGAGAGGUAUUCUUUGUCUUGAGCCUUUGAUUCCUGUUAAAAUAGAAAUGAUUCAAAAAUGAA